UCUGGUGAGACCCAGAGCACCCCACCUGCAAGGGGCCUGAUCUCCCUUGAACCAAGAGCCCUGCCACUCGCCCCAGCUGCCUAAAGGCUGACAGGAGAAGAGGGAGUCAGAAUGGUGCUCCAAACAGAGCUCACUGGAAUCUCAGCUCAGCCAUUUACUUGCUCUGUCAACUUGGGCUCUCGCUGCAGAUGUCAUUAGUGAAGACGAAGUCACACUGGAGUAGGCUGGGCCCUAAAUCAAAUGGCUGUUAGUUUUAUAAGAAGAGGGAAAUUUGGACACAGACACACACAAAGAGGAACAACCAGCGUGUGAAGACAGAGGCAGAGAUUGGAAUGAGGCAGCCACAAGCCAAUGAACCGCUGCAGCUCCCAGAGGCCAGAAGAGGCAAGGGAAUAUCCUCCCCUAGAGGCUGCAGAGGGAGCACAGCCCUGCCAGUGCCUUGAUUCGAGACUUCGAGACUUCCAGCCUCCAGAACUGGGAAAGAAUAAAUAUCUGCU
rnacentral:lncRNA from 1 species